rnacentral:rRNA from 1 species
GUGGGGUAAUGGCCUACCAAGGCGACGACGGGUAGCCGGCCUGAGAGGGCGACCGGCCACACUGGGACUGAGACACGGCCCAGACUCCUACGGGAGGCAGCAGUGGGGAAUAUUGCACAAUGGGCGAAAGCCUGAUGCAGCGACGCCGCGUGAGGGAUGACGGCCUUCGGGUUGUAAACCUCUUUCAGCAGGGACGAAGCGCAAGUGACUGUACCUGCAGAAGAAGCACCGGCUAACUACGUGCCAGCAGCCGCGGUAAUACGUAGGGUGCGAGCGUUGUCCGGAAUUACUGGGCGUAAAGAGUUCGUAGGCGGUUUGUCGCGUCGUGUGUGAAAUCCCGCAGCUCAACUGCGGGCUUGCAGGCGAUACGGGCAGACUUGAGUACUGCAGGGGAGACUGGAAUUCCUGGUGUAGCGGUGAAAUGCGCAGAUAUCAGGAGGAACACCGGUGGCGAAGGCGGGUCUCUGGGCAGUAACUGACGCUGAGGAACGAAAGCGUGGGUAGCGAACAGGAUUAGAUACCCUGGUAGUCCACGCCGUAAACGGUGGGCGCUAGGUGUGGGUUUCCUUCCACGGGAUCCGUGCCGUAGCUAACGCAUAAGC